GAUGAACGCUGGCGGCGUGCCUAAUACAUGCAAGUCGAGCGAACGGACGAGAAGCUUGCUUCUCUGAUGUUAGCGGCGGACGGGUGAGUAACACGUGGAUAACCUACCUAUAAGACUGGGAUAACUUCGGGAAACCGGAGCUAAUACCGGAUAAUAUUUUGAACCGCAUGGUUCAAAAGUGAAAGACGGUCUUGCUGUCACUUAUAGAUGGAUCCGCGCUGCAUUAGCUAGUUGGUAAGGUAACGGCUUACCAAGGCAACGAUGCAUAGCCGACCUGAGAGGGUGAUCGGCCACACUGGAACUGAGACACGGUCCAGACUCCUACGGGAGGCAGCAGUAGGGAAUCUUCCGCAAUGGGCGAAAGCCUGACGGAGCAACGCCGCGUGAGUGAUGAAGGUCUUCGGAUCGUAAAACUCUGUUAUUAGGGAAGAACAUAUGUGUAAGUAACUGUGCACAUCUUGACGGUACCUAAUCAGAAAGCCACGGCUAACUACGUGCCAGCAGCCGCGGUAAUACGUAGGUGGCAAGCGUUAUCCGGAAUUAUUGGGCGUAAAGCGCGCGUAGGCGGUUUUUUAAGUCUGAUGUGAAAGCCCACGGCUCAACCGUGGAGGGUCAUUGGAAACUGGAAAACUUGAGUGCAGAAGAGGAAGGUGGAAUUCCAUGUGUAGCGGUGAAAUGCGCAGAGAUAUGGAGGAACACCAGUGGCGAAGGCGACUUUCUGGUCUGUAACUGACGCUGAUGUGCGAAAGCGUGGGGAUCAAACAGGAUUAGAUACCCUGGUAGUCCACGCCGUAAACGAUGAGUGCUAAGUGUUAGGGGGUUUCCGCCCCUUAGUGCUGCAGCUAACGCAUUAAGCACUCCGCCUGGGGAGUACGACCGCAAGGUUGAAACUCAAAGGAAUUGACGGGGACCCGCACAAGCGGUGGAGCAUGUGGUUUAAUUCGAAGCAACGCGAAGAACCUUACCAAAUCUUGACAUCCUUUGACAACUCUAGAGAUAGAGCUUUCCCCUUCGGGGGACAAAGUGACAGGUGGUGCAUGGUUGUCGUCAGCUCGUGUCGUGAGAUGUUGGGUUAAGUCCCGCAACGAGCGCAACCCUUAAGCUUAGUUGCCAUCAUUAAGUUGGGCACCCUAAGUUGACUGCCGGUGACAAACCGGAGGAAGGUGGGGAUGACGUCAAAUCAUCAUGCCCCUUAUGAUUUGGGCUACACACGUGCUACAAUGGACAAUACAAAGGGCAGCGAAACCGUGAGGUCAAGCAAAUCCCAUAAAGUUGUUCUCAGUUCGGAUUGUAGUCUGCAACUCGACUACAUGAAGCUGGAAUCGCUAGUAAUCGUAGAUCAGCAUGCUACGGUGAAUACGUUCCCGGGUCU
rnacentral:rRNA from 1 species